rnacentral:snoRNA from 1 species
AUCCCAUGAUGAGGACACUUACACAGUAACUCCAUAAAUCUCUCCCAAGCCUCAUACAAAGAUUCGUCAUCCAAUUUUUGGAAAGUUGUGAUCUCAUUCCUCAACUU